UACGUAGGGUGCGAGCGUUGUCCGGAAUUAUUGGGCGUAAAGAGCUUGUAGGCGGUCUGUCGCGUCUGCUGUGAAAAUCCGGGGCUCAACCCCGGACUUGCAGUGGGUACGGGCAGACUAGAGUGUGGUAGGGGAGACUGGAAUUCCUGGUGUAGCGGUGAAAUGCGCAGAUAUCAGGAAGAACACCCGUGGCGAAGGCGGCUCUCUGGGACGGUACUGACGCUGAGACGCGAAAGCGUGGGGAGCGAACAGG
rnacentral:rRNA from 1 species